AAAAAUAAAAUUUGCAGGAUAGUACAAUAUAUAUGCAGCAGUAGCAGUUUCAAGAGGUAGUGAGGCGAUGGUGGCAGUGGUAGCGGUGGUGGCAGUGGUAGCAAGCCAAUAAUAUUUGUGAUAUAUAAUGGUUGUUUUAAUAUUAAUAAUAUUGCCCUAAAAAAAUAAAAUUUGCAGGAUAGUACAAUAUAUAUGCAGCAGUAGCAGUUUCAAGAGGUAGUGAGGCGAUGGUGGCAGUGGUAGCGGUGGUGGCGAAGGUGGCAGUGGUAGCAAGCCAAUAAUAUUUGUGAUAUAUAAUGGUUGUUUUAAUAUUAAUAAUAUUGCUCUAAAAAAAUAAAAUUUGCAGGAUAGUACAAUAUAUAUGCAGCAGUAGCAGUUGAGGUAGUGAGGCGGUGGUGGCGAUGGUGGCGGUGGUGGCGGUGGUAGCAAGCCAAUAAUAUUUGUGAUAUAUAAUGGUUGUUUUAAUAUUAAUAAUAUUGCUCUAAAAAAAUAAAAUUUGCAGGAUAGUACAAUAUAUAUGCAGCAGUAGCAGUUGAGGUAGUGAGGCGGUGGUGGCGGUGGUGGCAGUGGUGGCGAAGGUGGCAGUGGUAGCAAGCCAAUAAUAUUUGUGAUAUAUAAUGGUUGUUUUAAUAUUAAUAAUAUUGCUCUAAAAAAAUAAAAUUUGCAGGAUAGUACAAG